UGCAUACGGGGUGCUAUACAUGCAGUCGAGCGGACAGAAGGGAGCUUGCUCCCGGAUGUUAGCGGCGGACGGGUGAGUAACACGUGGGUAACCUGCCUGUAAGACUGGGAUAACUCCGGGAAACCGGAGCUAAUACCGGAUAGUUCCUUGAACCGCAUGGUUCAAGGAUGAAAGACGGUUUCGGCUGUCACUUACAGAUGGACCCGCGGCGCAUUAGCUAGUUGGUGAGGUAACGGCUCACCAAGGCGACGAUGCGUAGCCGACCUGAGAGGGUGAUCGGCCACACUGGGACUGAGACACGGCCCAGACUCCUACGGGAGGCAGCAGUAGGGAAUCUUCCGCAAUGGACGAAAGUCUGACGGAGCAACGCCGCGUGAGUGAUGAAGGUUUUCGGAUCGUAAAGCUCUGUUGUUAGGGAAGAACAAGUGCAAGAGUAACUGCUUGCACCUUGACGGUACCUAACCAGAAAGCCACGGCUAACUACGUGCCAGCAGCCGCGGUAAUACGUAGGUGGCAAGCGUUGUCCGGAAUUAUUGGGCGUAAAGGGCUCGCAGGCGGUUUCUUAAGUCUGAUGUGAAAGCCCCCGGCUCAACCGGGGAGGGUCAUUGGAAACUGGGAAACUUGAGUGCAGAAGAGGAGAGUGGAAUUCCACGUGUAGCGGUGAAAUGCGUAGAGAUGUGGAGGAACACCAGUGGCGAAGGCGACUCUCUGGUCUGUAACUGACGCUGAGGAGCGAAAGCGUGGGGAGCGAACAGGAUUAGAUACCCUGGUAGUCCACGCCGUAAACGAUGAGUGCUAAGUGUUAGGGGGUUUCCGCCCCUUAGUGCUGCAGCUAACGCAUUAAGCACUCCGCCUGGGGAGUACGGUCGCAAGACUGAAACUCAAAGGAAUUGACGGGGGCCCGCACAAGCGGUGGAGCAUGUGGUUUAAUUCGAAGCAACGCGAAGACCUUUACCAGGUCUUGACAUCCUCUGACACCCUAGAGAUAGGGCUUUCCCUUCGGGAAGAGUGACAGUGUUGCAUGGUUGUCGUCAGCUCGUGUCGUGAAGAUGUUGGUAAGUCCCGCAACGAGCGCACUCUUUGAAUCUAGUGCCAGCAUUCAGUGGCCACUUCUAGUGACUGGCGUGACAACGGAGGACGUGGGUAUGACGUCAUUCUUCGAUUGCCCGUUAUGACUGGCUACCACGUGCUUACAUGACCGAAACGAUGCUUGCGCGACAAU
rnacentral:rRNA from 1 species